rnacentral:rRNA from 1 species
GAUGAACGCUGGCGGCGUGCCUAAUACAUGCAAGUCGAGCGAACAGACGAGGAGCUUGCUCCUCUGACGUUAGCGGCGGACGGGUGAGUAACACGUGGAUAACCUACCUAUAAGACUGGGAUAACUUCGGGAAACCGGAGCUAAUACCGGAUAAUAUAUUGAACCGCAUGGUUCAAUAGUGAAAGACGGUUUUGCUGUCACUUAUAGAUGGAUCCGCGCCGCAUUAGCUAGUUGGUAAGGUAACGGCUUACCAAGGCGACGAUGCGUAGCCGACCUGAGAGGGGGAUCGGCCACACUGGAACUGAGACACGGUCCAGACUCCUUCGGGAGGCAGCAGUAGGGAAUCUUCCGCAAUGGGCGAAAGCCUGACGGAGCAACGCCGCGUGAGUGAUGAAGGUCUUCGGAUCGUAAAACUCUGUUAUUAGGGAAGAACAAAUGUGUAAGUAACUAUGCACGUCUUGACGGUACCUAAUCAGAAAGCCACGGCUAACUACGUG